UGAAUGGGACCUAAUCAAACUGACAAGCUUUUGCGCAGAAAAGGAAACCAUUAAAAAAAAAAAAAAAAAAGACAACCGGAGAUGGGAUUAAGAUGGCAGAAUAGAAUAGAAGAACUGGAGCUCAAUCUCUCUCCUAAAAACAACAAAAUUAUAACCAAACGCUGAGCAACCUUCAACCAAAUGGACUAGAAACUUUCAAAAAGAUAUCCUACUCCAGAAGACAAAAAGGUGGCCACAUCAAGAAGUAGUAGGACUAUUACAUGACAUAAGCAACCCCAUACCUCCCAGGUGGGAAGCCCCACAGACUGGAAAGUAACUGUAUCACAGAGACUCACCUAUAGGAGUGAGAGUUCUGAGCCCCACAUCAAGUCCCCACGCCUGGGGAUCUGGCACUGGGAGAAAGAGCCCCCUGAGCAUCUGGCAUUGAAGGCCAGUGGGGCUUGUCUGCAGGAACUCUGGGGGAAAUGGAGAGGGCUGGGGGAAAUGGAGACCCCAUUCUUGAAAGGUGCACAUAGACUUUCAAGUGCACUGGGUCCCAGGGCAAAGCAGAGGUUCCCUAGAUAUCUGGGCUGGACCUGACUGCAAUUCUUGGUGGAUCUUCUGAGAAAACGGGGGUGACUGUGGCUUGUUGUUGGGGGAGGGCAUUGGAGGCAAAGCUUCUGGGAAUAUUCAUCAGCAUGCAUUUCUCUGAAGGUGGCCAUUUUGGGAAUAUCUGGCCCCACCCAUCAGUGACAAGAAGCCCCAGGCCAAACAACAAUCUAGGAGUUCCCGUCGUGGCGCAGUGGUUAACAAAUCCGACUAGGAACCAUGAGGUUGCGGGUUCGGUCCCUGCCCUUGCUCAGUGGGUUAACGAUCCGGCAUUGCCGUGAGCUGUGGGGUAGGUUGCAGACAUGGCUCGGAUCCCGCGUUGCUGUGGCUCUGGCGUAGGCCAGUGGCUACAGCUCCGAUUCAACCCCUAGCCUGGGAACCUCCAUAUGCCACAGGAGCGGCCCAAGAAAUAGCAA